rnacentral:rRNA from 1 species
GAUGAAGGCCUUCGGGUUGUAAACCUCUUUCAGCAGGGACGAAGCGUGAGUGACGGUACCUGCAGAAGAAGCACCGGCUAACUACGUGCCAGCAGCCGCGGUAAUACGUAGGGUGCGAGCGUUGUCCGGAAUUACUGGGCGUAAAGAGUUCGUAGGCGGUUUGUCGCGUCGUUUGUGAAAACCCGGGGCUCAACUUCGGGCUUGCAGGCGAUACGGGCAGACUUGAGUGUUUCAGGGGAGACUGGAAUUCCUGGUGUAGCGGUGAAAUGCGCAGAUAUCAGGAGGAACACCGGUGGCGAAGGCGGGUCUCUGGGAAACAACUGACGCUGAGGAACGAAAGCGUGGGUAGCAAACAGGAUUAGAU